rnacentral:lncRNA from 1 species
CAAAAAGUCCUUUUGGUAAACUUUACAGGACACGUUAUCAAAGUUUGUUAUAGUAUUUUUGAAAAACGAUUUUAUCCGAAAAAAAAAUACAUUAAUGUAAACAUUCAUAAGAUUGUCAAUUCUAUCCCGAAUUUGUUAACUAAAACCGAAAAAGACGUAGAAAUAUCUGAAUUUUUGGUAUUUGAGCAAGUGUAAAAUCAUUUGUUCCCCGGACUAAUGCUAUACCGACCAGAAACUACAAAAAAUUAUGACACUACAGAGACAAAAGUCAAUAAUUUCCGUCAGUUCUACAGGUUUAAAGAAAGAAAGACAAC